GCAGCCGCGGUAAUACGUAGGUGGCAAGCGUUAUCCGGAAUUACUGGGUGUAAAGGGUGUGUAGGCGGGACUGCAAGUCAGAUGUGAAAACUAUGGGCUCAACCCAUAGCCUGCAUUUGAAACUGUGGUUCUUGAGUGUCGGAGAGGUAAAUGGAAUUCCCAGUGUAGCGGUGAAAUGCGUAGAUAUUGGGAGGAACACCAGUGGCGAAGGCGAUUUACUGGACGACAACUGACGCUGAGACACGAAAGCGUGGGGAGCAAACAGGAUUAGAUACCCC
rnacentral:rRNA from 1 species